rnacentral:lncRNA from 1 species
UUGUAUUUGGAUUACACACGAGGGGUUCGAUGUUUUGGUGAUGACAUUGAACAUCGUUUUUUUUUUAAAUUGUAAUUUGUGAGUUUGUGUGUGUUUUGUCACGAAAUUGCCAAAGGGGGAGAUUGUUAGGUCCUAUGUGUUGGCAAGUUUCGUGGGUCGAGUCGGAGUCUUGAAGAAGUUCGGAGCGGAGUAUUGAAGAUCGAAGAAUUCAAGACUUCGAAGAAUCGGAAAGGACGCAAAACACGUAAAACAUGAAUCCCGAUGCGUAGGUAAGUUUUAAAUCUUGUUUAUGGUAAUUCAUACUUAUUUAUAGAUCUUAGAAUCAUAUUUUCAAGUUGUAAUUGAUUAAAAAAUUUCUAAGAGCUUGUAAAAUCCGAAACAAUGCAUUUUCAGCGAAAAUCGCAUUGUUGUACCGGUACAAGAGUUUUCUGUCCAGGGUACAGCCAUCAGCAUUUGUGCAGGAAGUUUGAUGGUUGUUCCGGUACAAGCUUCAUGCUGUACCGGCUGAAGCUAUCCAGGGUACAGGAGCUUCGCAGAAAAAUCUUCCGUCAUGGUGUACCCUGGACAGCUUUUCUUGUUUCGGUACAAGGUGCUGAUUUUGGAAAGAAACUUUCUAAUACUAGUCUGUUUUGAUUCUAAAGUCUAUAAAUAAGCUAGAGGGGUUCUCUAACUGAUUAAGUAUCACGAAAAUACAUAUUUGAGAAACCUUAGAGGCUCGGAUUUCAUCAAAAAUCUAUUUUCUACAAAAAGCCUCUUUUAGAUCAAAUCGAGAUAUUGAAAUUUGAUAUUAAUAUGUCGAUUUGAUCUCCGCUUUGCUUGGAGUUCUAUU